GUGCACGUGAUGGUCAGAGGACAACUCGGGGGAGUUGGUUCUCUCCGUCCACCAUGUGGUGUGGUCUCUAGGGAUUGAAUCAGGUCACAGGUCUUGGCAGCAAGCACCUUUACCCUCUGCGGCAUCUUGACCACUGGGUUACAGAGAAUUUAGAAGACAAGAUAAAGAUGUCAGGAGGAGGAGGCAGCUGACUGGAAUCUGUUCACUCACCCUGUAGGUGACUAUUACAGCGCCUCUGGAUGCCCAUGACAGACAUGUUCCUGGCCUCACAGAACCUCUGUGAAGCUGGGGGAAGACAAAUCAUUGUGAGACGCUUUGGUCUGACAACAGAAAAACCGAGACUUGAGGGGACUUCAGAGUUUGGUGGAAAGCCAGCUAGACUGACUUCCCCUUUCAAAGCAUUCAGACAGACGUGAGAGAAAGUAAGGGGCUUCCAUGAGUUCGUGAGGAAAGCCCUUCUUAGCAGAGAAGAGCGGUGUUGAAGAUUGCAUCAACAGGAACUUUGUCACCGAGGAACUGGCGAGAACAAACAGCUGGAGUGAGGUGGGGUGAAAAAGUAGACCCAGGAGCUACCUACCGAGCCACUUGCUCUAGGGAGCCAGACAAGCUGGAUGAGACAGCCAACAGCCGACUGAGCUUCCAGCAGAGGAGGGACAGGCUUGACCUUCAUCUCGGAAGGGUCACUGAAGCUGGAGUGUUCUUUAUCUGCCGGGAAGCAACAUCAGGAACAGAAGGCUAGUGAAACAAAAGAAGCCAGCAAUGCUCUCAAGUUUAGCCGCUUUGGGGGAAGCGUUCGGGGGAAGCGUUCGGGGAAAGCGUUUGGAGAGCCUGAAACUCCGAGGAUGGGCAUCCUUGUGUUGGGAACUGGAGCUCCGGAGCGUUGGGAAAACUGCAAAGUGGGUUCAGCUGCUGCCAAGGAAGGCACUGCUAAUGCCAGGGUGAAGAAGUGUUGCCAGGGCGACGUUACAGAAACAGGAAGCCAAUAGAAAUAAGCAAGCCCCUUCUUCCUGCUGCUGCGUUCCCAGCAUCUGCCCUGCGCUCUUUCCUGGCAGCGCAGAGCAGAAAGCAACCGUGGUCUUCCGAGCCAGCUCCAGCAUCACGCACGGCACGGAUAGAAGGUGAAUGUGACAUGAAGAGGCAAUCGCUGAGCUAACAGAAACACGGAUUAACAUAAAUGAAGGGAAUGCACAAGUUUCCAGAACUAGAGAAUUUGGUUGAGAAAUGAGCCUGCUGGAAGAAUGACACUGUUUAACACGGUAGGGCCCUUUGGAGGCUGAAGAGGUGACUCAGCAGUUAAGAACACUGGGCUGCACUUUCAGGGGACCGGGCUUCAGUUCCCAGCACCAACUAUACGUGACUCCAGUUCCAGGGGAAAUGAUAACCUCUCCUGGCCUCCACAGUCAUUGUAUGUACAAGGUACAUACACUCACAAGGCAGACAAACCACCAACACAAAUAAAAC
rnacentral:lncRNA from 1 species